rnacentral:lncRNA from 1 species
CGUAGAGGCUACAGAUCGAGGUUUGUUUGAUUUCAUAGGAAAAAAGGAAGAGGAAAAGCCAACUCAUGCCCAAGAAGAACAGGCUAUUUCCUCUGAGUUUGAUGAAAAAGUAAAAGUAUCUGAAGAAGUUGCAGAAUACAAGGAGGAAGAGAAGAAAGAAGAGAAGAAACUUCAUCGAUCAAGUAGCAGCUCUAGCAGCUCCGUAAGUAUUUUCGAUCAUGGGUAAAAUUUAUCGGUACUCAUUUAUUUACAUCAAAUCAAUAAAUAUAAAAUAAUUAUGUUUCAUAGAUGCAUGUUUUACUUAAUUGUACCUAUUCUUACUUUAUUUUAUGGUAAUUAUUAACAGAGUCACAUCCAGGAUUGAAAGUUUAUGAGUUCCUAUUAUAAUUUUAAAUUAAUAUACAAUAAUAACUGAAUUCACGCUUAUAUAUUUAUUGAUAUUUAAUGAAUUUUUUAAUAAAAAUACUGAAUCUAUGCAAAAAUUACUGGCUUCUCGGAUCCAGAAGCUAUACUCUACAUCCGCCUAGCCUUUGGACAUAGAUUGAGUUGAAACUUGAAAAAAUAUUUUUGAAGUAGUUUUGGAAAAUAAUUUUUGGAAGUUGAAAUUAGUUUGGACAUACAUUUUAUUUGAAAAACAUUUGAAGUUUUGUGAGUAGGAACUGAUUUUCAUCCAAAAUCUACCAUAAACUAGAUUUUGGAAACUUAAAAAAUAUUUUCAGAAAUUUUUCAAAAACAGAUCACUAAUUUGUGGACAAACAAUGUUUUAAAAAAAAAAUGAAAAAAACUUGCCAAAAUGUAUGGCCAAACGAGGGCUUAAAUUUUUUUACACGAUCAGGUCAUAUUUACCUUAUUGUAUCAAGUAACAUGUCUCGUUUUCAAAAUUUACUUCUAGAUAUUCUUCGAAUGACUUGACAGUAUGAAAAACUAAUUACAUCGAUGGUGUAUAUAUAUAUAUAUUUUGAUCAUGUUUACAUGAAUAGCCUCAUCAUAUAGAAAAGCAUCAGCGGCUGUUUUCACGACUCGAACUUUGUAACCUUGCUGUUUGUGUACAACAAAAACUCUUUUUAUAGUUGGAUGAAGCUUAUGUUAAUUGUGAUGAUCUUGCAGAGUGAUGAAGAGGAAGAAAUAGGAGAGGACGGACAGAAAAUCAAGAAGAAGAAAAAGAAGGGUUUGAAGGAUAAGAUCAAGGAGAAAAUAUCUGGAGAACACAAGGAAGAUGAGAAGGCAGAGGACACAGCUGUUCCAGUGGAGAAAUACGAAGAAGCAGAGGAGAAAAAAGGAUUCCUAGACAAGAUUAAGGAGAAGUUGCCAGUUGGCGGCCAAAAGAAGACGGAGGAAGUGGCGCCUCCACCACCGGCUGCGGCGGAACACGAGGCUGAGGGAAAAGAGAAGAAGGGAUUUUUGGACAAGAUUAAGGAGAAAUUACCACGAUACCACUCAAAGACUGAAGAAGAAAAGGAAAAAGAGAAAGAAACUGCAUCUCACUAGAUUAUUACAGCAUGAAAAUGAAUGUUUUUAUUUGUCGCUUUUUUGUUUUUUUGUUUUUGUGUAUGUCAUGAUUGUGUUACUGCUGUUUGGUUAAGCUUUCAUUUCCUUCACUUUUUUGGGGUUUGAAGGAUAAUAGUAUUGUAUUCAUAUAUGUAAGUGCAUAUAGCAUGUGCUUAUGUAUAAAGUUUGAUGUGGAUCUUUCGUUUGUAAAAUGCAGUUGGUUUUGCUUUUCACCUUAUCUUUUGUGUUUUCCUUAAUUACCUAUGUUAAAGCAUUAGGAUAAUUAAACAAGAUA